rfam:Clostridium bartlettii CAG:1329 genomic scaffold, scf59
GUCUUAUCAAGAGCGGUGGAGGGACUGGCCCUGUGAAACCCAGCAACCAAUAUAUCUAUAUAUGGUGCUAAAUCCUGCAGCAUUAUGCUGAAAGAUAAGUA